rnacentral:rRNA from 1 species
GAUGAACGCUAGCGGCAGGCUUAACACAUGCAAGUCGAGGGGUAGAGGAAGCUUGCUUCCUUGAGACCGGCGCACGGGUGCGUAACGCGUAUGCAACCUACCUUUUACAGAGGGAUAGCCCAGAGAAACUUGGAUUAAUACCUCAUGGUAUAUAUCAUUCGCAUGUUUGAUAUAUUAAAGUUCCAACGGUAAAAGAUGGGCAUGCGUCCUAUUAGCUAGAUGGUAAGGUAACGGCUUACCAUGGCAACGAUAGGUAGGGGUCCUGAGAGGGAGAUCCCCCACACUGGUACUGAGACACGGACCAGACUCCUACGGGAGGCAGCAGUGAGGAAUAUUGGACAAUGGGCGCAAGCCUGAUCCAGCCAUGCCGCGUGCAGGAAGAAGCAUCUAUGGUGUGUAAACUGCUUUUGUACGGGAAGAAACACUCCUUCGUGAAGGAGCUUGACGGUACCGUAAGAAUAAGGAUCGGCUAACUCCGUGCCGGCAGCCGCGGUAAAAC